GGGGAAUAUUGGACAAUGGGCGCAAGCCUGAUCCAGCCAUGCCGCGUGAGUGAUGAAGGCCCUAGGGUUGUAAAGCUCUUUCAGUGGGGACGAUAAUGACGGUACCCACAGAAGAAGCCCCGGCUAACUACGUGCCAGCAGCCGCGGUAAUACGUAGGGUGCGAGCGUUAAUCGGAAUUACUGGGCGUAAAGUGUGCGCAGGCGGCGUCGCAAGUCGAGUGUGAAAGCCCCGGGCUUAACUUGGGAAUUGCGCUCGAAACUACGAUGCUGGAGUGUGGCAGAGGAAGGUGGAAUUCCACGUGUAGCGGUGAAAUGCGUAGAGAUGUGGAGGAACACCAAUGGCGAAGGCAGCCUUCUGGGCCAACACUGACGCUCAUGCACGAAAGCGUGGGGAGCAAA
rnacentral:rRNA from 1 species